AGUGAACGCUGGCGGUAGGCCUAACACAUGCAAGUCGAACGGCAGCACAGUAAGAGCUUGCUCUUACGGGUGGCGAGUGGCGGACGGGUGAGGAAUACAUCGGAAUCUACUUUUUCGUGGGGGAUAACGUAGGGAAACUUACGCUAAUACCGCAUACGACCUACGGGUGAAAGCAGGGGAUCUUCGGACCUUGCGCGAUUGAAUGAGCCGAUGUCGGAUUAGCUAGUUGGCGGGGUAAAGGCCCACCAAGGCGACGAUCCUUAGCUGGUCUGAGAGGUUGACCGGCACACUGGGACUUGGGAAAGGGCCCAGCCCCGUCAGGGAGGAAGAAGUGGGAAUUUUGGGCAAAUGGGGGAAAGCCGGUCCAAGCAUUACGCGGGGGUUGAGGAGGCCUUCGGGUUGUAAAGCCCUUUUGUUGGGAAAGAAAAGCAGCAGGUUAAUACCCCGCUGUUCUGACGGUACCCAAAGAAUAAGCACCGGCUAACUUCGUG
rnacentral:rRNA from 1 species